UUUAAAAACCCCAUAAUGAAUCCAAGCGCCCCCAGUUACCCGAUGGCCUCCUGUACGUGGGCGACCUGCACCAGGAUAUCACCGAGGCCAUGCUGUACGAGAAGUUCAGCCCCCGCCGGGCCCAUCCUCUCCAUCCGGGUCUGCAGGGACAUGAUCACUCGGCGAUCCCUCGGAUAUGCCUACGUCAACUUUCAACAACCAGCCGAUGCUGAACGUGCCCUGGACACCAUGAACUUUGACGUCAUCAAAGGAGACCUCUGCGUAUCAUGUGGUCUCAGCGUGACCCUUCCCUGAGGAAGAGUGGGGUGGGCAACAUCUUCAUCAAGAACCUGGACAAGUCCAUUGACAACAAGGCCCUCUAUGACACCUUCUCGGCGUUCGGAAACAUCCUAUCCUGCAAGGUGGUUUGUGAUGAGAAUGGCUCAAAAGGCUAUGGCUUUGUGCAUUUUGAGACCCAGGAGGCGGCUGAAAGAGCCAUUGAGAAAAUGAACGGCAUGCUGCUCAAUGACAGAAAAGUGUUCGUCGGGCGUUUCAAAUCCCGCAAAGAGCGCGAGGCUGAGCUCGGAGCCAGAGCCAGAGAGUUCACCAACGUGUACAUCAAGAACUUCGGAGAGGACAUGGACGACGAGAAGCUCAGGGAGCUGUUUGGGAAAUAUGGACCGGCCCUGAGCAUCAGGGUGAUGACGGACGACAGCGGGAAGUCCCGAGGGUUCGGCCGUCAGCUUUGAGAGGCACGAGGAUGCUCAGAGGGCUGUAGACGAGAUGAACGGGAAGGAUUUCAACGGGCGACAGGUCUACGUGGGCCGAGCCCAGAAGAAGGGAGAGCGCCAGACGGAGUUGAAACGCAAGUUUGAGCAGAUGAAGCAGGACCGUAUGACCCGCUACCAGGGGGUCAACCUGUACGUCAAGAAUCUGGACGAUGGCCUCGACGACGAGCGGCUGAGGAAGGAGUUCUCUCCUUUCGGUACCAUCACCAGCGCCAAGGUGAUGAUGGAAGGUGGUCGCAGCAAGGGCUUCGGCUUUGUGUGCUUCUCCUCCCCGGAGGAGGCCACCAAGGCCGUGACGGAGAUGAACGGGCGCAUCGUGGCCACCAAGCCGCUGUACGUGGCGCUGGCCCAGAGGAAAGAGGAGCGCCAGGCUCACCUCACCAACCAGUACAUGCAGAGGAUGGCCACCGUCCGGCCCGUACCCAACCCAGUCCUCAACCCCUACCAGCCUGCCCCUCCCUCUGGGUACUUCAUGGCUGCCAUCCCCCAGACUCAGAACCGCGCUGCCUACUACUCCACCAAUCAGCUGGCUCAGCUGAGACCAGGCCCACGCUGGGCCACCCAGGGCGUCAGACCACAACACUUCCAGAACAUGCCCAACGCCAUGCGCCCGUCCGCCCCCAGGCCGCAGACCUUCGGCGCCAUGAGGCCCUCGUCAUCCCAGGUGCCACGCAUGAUGGCCGGCCAGAGAAUGGCCACCCAGGCCCUGGGCCAGCGUCCUGCCGGUGCGGCGGCUGCUGCAGCCCCGGUGAGGAUGCCUCAGUACAAGUAUGCAGCAGGCGUGAGGAACCCCCAGCAGCACAUGUCCAGCCAGCCCCAGGUGCCCAUGCAGCAGCCGGCUGUCCACGUCCAGGGACAGGAGCCUCUGACGGCCUCCAUGCUGGCGGCGGCUCCUCCUCAGGAACAGAAGCAGAUGUUGGGCGAGCGUCUGUUCCCUCUCAUCCAAAACAUGCACCCUAGUCUGGCUGGAAAGAUCACCGGCAUGCUGUUGGAGAUCGACAACUCCGAGUUGCUCCACAUGCUGGAGUCUCCCGAGUCUCUCCGCUCCAAGGUGGACGAGGCUGUCGCUGUGCUGCAGGCUCACCAGGCCAAGGAGUCCGCCCAGAAGCCCACCAACCCCGCCGGAGUCCCCAGCUAAGAACCG